CCCUUGCCACAUCCUUUUGCCCGCUUUCUCUCUCCCACCCCCAUCUCCUCUUACUUUUGGCUCUUUAGAACCCAGUAAAAAACAAGAGACUGAGGUUUCCCUUCCUCAUGAUAGGUCAGUAGUGCUUUAAGCAAACAAUAUUAGCAGCUUUGACUGCAGCAUUAGCAAUUAGGGAAAAAUAAUUAAGUUCCCUGCGGACAUGUAACUUUGCCAUCAGUUUUGAUGUGGAAACACUGUGAUAUAUAAAUGUUGUUGGACAACAGUAGUUUUAAGAGUAAAAUAUGAAAGAUUUAAAAAGUUGAAAAAAAAAAGCUAGCUCUGUCCUUUACUUAUGAGACACUUUAACUUUUUCCUUUGUAUUUCCAUUGUAUUAGAUAAAUAAAUGUGAAUGUAAAAUUGUAUAAAUUACUGUACUUGAAUACUUCUGUUCUCCCAGUAUUGCUUGCUGGAUAUUUUAGUGCCUUGGACUUCUAUUGCUUCUGCCAUUAGCAUCAACUUCUCAUGAGAACCCAGAACAGCAAAGGGCAUGCAGUCCAUGGUGACUCUAGCAGUGGGUUAUGCCAAAGGGAAAAUGAAAGAGUAUUUCUUUUUCAGUCAUACAACAAUUUUGUCUAGAGCAGGUGUCAGGUGUAUGAUGAGCAGAGUGAGAAGUUAAGUUGACACCAAUGGUUGAAAGCAGAAAGUUCUGUUUCAGGAACAGUGAAGAGGGUAUGCUAACAAAAUCAAAAAGAUUAUGUCUUUUUAAAAGACAGUUAAACAGAUUAUGGGUUGUGUAUAAGUGAACAAAAAGGGAAGACUAAAGAGAACAAAUUUGUUCUGAAGAUAAGAGAUGCCUGGCCUGUGGGUGUCAUAAGCUUGAUCAUUUGAGCUAGGCUUAAACAGAUGAGAUCUUGAAGAAAUGGCUGAAUAUAAAAGGAAGGGAGAGGGGGUUCUUUAAGAUGGAAAAUGUGAUAGUGAGACGUCACAGGUGCAGAGACUUGCUCUAUGAAAAAAAUGGAUUGCUUUCCUCUUGUUGGACAUGUACAAUACAUUUUUCACCGUGGGAAUUUAUUUUGUGGAAAGUAGACCUACCCAUUUGCUAUAAAAUGUCCCGAUGGUUGCAGGAUCAUAUUCUAUUGUGCCACCUUUAUUUAUAAAAUUGCAACUGUUCACAUUUUCAUGUAAACUAAUGUUCCCCUUUAAUAACUACAACAAAUCAGUAUUACUUAGUGCUAUGCCUACCUGUAAUGGGCAGUUCUCUUAGUAUUUUCAAGAGUUUUCAGGAAAUAUUUUCUAAUUGGCUACCUUUGAGGUCUCUGUUAUCUCUUAAGAUCGGGAAAGAAGCUAGGAAUCUUUGUUUUUUGGGUGCUUCUUCUCUUGACUCUUGAGUUGAGAUAUUGACAUAUUUCCAACCUCUUAUCCACCUCACAGCACAUCCCAGGAAUCAAAUUAGGAAUCUCUAUGUUGGCUUUUCUAUCCUGGUUUUCCAUCUUUGGCCCUUUUUUCUUUAUAUGAGCCUAGGUCCCACAGUACACAGGAAAGCUGAAAGUUUUAGGAUGGUAUGGUAGAAAUUAAAAAAAAAAAAAAAGGCAAGGGUUUCAGGCCCUACUUCAAAUUCUAGGGGAGAUAAAAAAGGAUAAAACAAAGAUGGUGCCAUGUAAAUGAUAAACAAACCACCUAAAACAAAUUAACGUAAAAUACUUUGACCAGUGGAUAGAGGAAGCCAAAUGCAGUACAAUACCAUUUUCUUGUUUGGGUUUAAUAACUUGGAGGUCUUUUCACUCGCACACAAAAGGAAGAACUGGUUUUAUUUACUGUUGAUUUGUUUUCCCUCCUGUGGAUGAAAUAACUGAAGCCUAGAGGAAUGAACUAGUGCUACUGAACUGUUUAAAUUAUUUUUGUGUUAAUAGUACACUUUGAGUAUCUUUCCACAUUAAAAAUAUUUCUGAAUUAUAAAUGUUUCCCUUACAUUAUUUAACAAUGUACACUGUUUAAAAAAACUGAAUUUCAAACCUUGGGGGUUUCUCAGCAGCCGUUAAUUGUACAUUUUGCACUAACUCUGGGUGUUGCGCUUCUUGUAAGAUUGCGCUUUGUGCUUCAGUUUGUUACCUUUGUAGACUUAUUUAAUGAAACCAUUUAAAUAAACCAAACCUGCUUUUGUUGA